AUUGCGCAGCUCGCUGCCGUGCGUUUAACCCAGGCGAGGAGGAGGAGGAGAAAAUUCCCCCAGAUUCGGGCAGGCCCGCACCCCACAUCCCGUCCUGUUUUGAGAGGAGGAGGGAAGAGAAAUAAACGUGGCAGCGCAUAGAAGGCCAGCAGGGAGGUUGGGAAAGGGUAACCAGGAGGCGGGGGUGGGGCAUGCAAUUUGGUAACAAUCUGGGCGGCACACUCCCACCCUGACUUUCCCCACCACCGCCCCCGCACCCUCCCAUCCCCCAGCCGACCCUCUGUGAUUUGGGAGUGCUGGGAAAUGGGUGUACCAGCUGCUGUUGGAGAGGUGGCGGGUUUGGCGCUGUCUGGGCUUCACGGGAGGUGGGGGGGA
rnacentral:sRNA from 1 species